UCUGGGGAGGAGGCUGGGGAAGUGGGUUCCCCUGGUGAGAGGCCUUGGAGGAGCUGGGAGCUUGGAGGCGACCCUCCUGGGAGGGUGGGAGCAGGAUCUGACACGGAGGCCAGCCGGUGGGGGGUUCCAGGCGAGCCCCACCCUAGCAAAGGAGCCUGGCUCCCCGGAGACGGGUGACACGCAGACCAGGGUGGCGGCAGCUGGAGGCCUCUGAGACAAGGGAGAAGGGGAUCUGGGAGAGYACAGAUGGACAGACGGAUGGAUGGAUGGAAGGGAAGAAGGACGCCCGGAGGAGAAGACGUUCAGGGGGUGGAGGGCGGGAGGUGGCCAUGGACCCCUCCCUGCGGGGUCGGUGGGCCGCUGGCCCUCCCCCACGCUCCCAGGCAGGGCUAGGAGAGCCAGAGGCGGCCCCACCAGCUCCCCAGCCGCCUCCUCUCAGGACACCUGGCAAGGGAGCGGGACCCAGGCCAACUCAAGGGGAAGGUCGGCCAAGGACAGCCUGAGAGAUUCAGGCUAGACGGCAGGGGGACUUCCUCAGUGGGAGGCGAUGGAAAGCCCUCUGAGAAGACCCCUCCACAGCCCCUGUGGCACUGGCUCUGUCUCAACCCCCAUGGGACACACUUUUCCCAGAAGUGGUUUCCUAAGGCCUGGCCACUUUGUCUCUCUGGGCAGGCCGGGGGACAGUGACAUUGAAAUCCACAUUAAACAUGCCUGACGAGCACCUCAGCCCCGUGGUGGCCGACRUCAUUGCCUAGGGUCGGGCUGCAGCACAGUGGUGAGACUUUAAA